GACGAACGCUGGCGGCGUGCUUAACACAUGCAAGUCGAACGGAAAGGCCCUGCUUGCAGGGUACUCGAGUGGCGAACGGGUGAGUAACACGUGGGUGAUCUGCCCUGCACUUCGGGAUAAGCCUGGGAAACUGGGUCUAAUACCGGAUAGGAGCCAUUUUUAGUGUGAUGGUUGGAAAGUUUUUUUCGGUGUAGGAUGAGCUCGCGGCCUAUCAGCUUGUUGGUGGGGUAAUGGCCUACCAAGGCGGCGACGGGUAGCCGGCCUGAGAGGGUGGACGGCCACAUUGGGACUGAGAUACGGCCCAGACUCCUACGGGAGGCAGCAGUGGGGAAUAUUGCACAAUGGGCGCAAGCCUGAUGCAGCGACGCCGCGGGGGGGAUGACGGCCUUCGGGUUGUAAACGCCUUUCGCUAGGGACGAAGCUUUUUGUGACGGUACCUAGAUAAGAAGCACCGGCUAACUACGUG
rnacentral:rRNA from 1 species